GUUCGGAUCGCAGGCUGCAACCCGCCUGCGUGAAGUUGGAAUCGCUAGUAAUCGCGGAUCAGAAUGCCGCGGUGAAUACGUUCCCGGGCCUUGUACACACCGCCCGUCACACCAUGAGAGUCGGGAACACCCGAAGUCCGUAGCCUAACCGCAAGGGGGGCGCGGCCGAAGGUGGGUUCGAUAAUUGGGGUGAAGUCGUAACAAGGUACC
rnacentral:rRNA from 1 species